GAACAACUAUAAUAUUUUUGUGAGCACACAUCAGAUAUCUUCUGGGGACUCACAGGACUAUCUGACGGAAGGGCUAUUUUGCAGAAGACUGAGGUCUUACGUAGACUGCAUAGAGUUAAAAAACAGUUGCAUCUGUAUUAGUGUGGCUCAUGUGAUGCCACCUGUGUCUACAAGUUGGUUAAACCUUGGAAUAUUUAUUUGGGAACAGUUGCAGGAGUGGAGAGAAAACACACAGAACCAGGGAUUACAGGCAUGAGCCACCGUGCCCAGCCCUGAAAAAUUGUUUUGAUCUCAUAGAACUUAUAUUCUCCUGUGAGAGACAGACAACAAACAAGAGAGAUUAGUAUAUAAAAUAUUGAUAGAAAUAAGUACUAAAAAGAAAAUCAAAGAGAGAAAGGGAGAUAAGAAACAUCAAGAGCAGGAGAUGAUUGAAGUUGUAGACAGGUGAGCCGGGGAAGGUUUCACUGAACAUUUUGACAAACACCCAAAGGAAGUGAGAGAGUUUACCACGUGGAUAUCUGAGGGAAAAACAUUCUAGGCAAAGGGCACAGCCAGUGCAAAGCUCAGAGGCAUGAGGAUGUCAGAUGCUAAGGAGUGGCCAGGGGCCAGUGUGGGGGAGUAGAGAUGAGGUCAGAUGAUAACAGCAGGCCAAAUCACGCUGUGUUGCAGGUCGUGGUUAAGACACUGGCUUUUUUUCCUGAAAGAGAAUAAGAAAUUCAAAGGUCACAGUGAUAAUUUCCUAGAUAAGGCGAUGGGGGCCUGAACUGGAGUGACAAGAAUGGAACAAAAAGGAAGCCGCAAGAGUGACUGAGAGCACACAGCCCUUUUCCCAGCCCCACACCGGCCUCCGCUAAGAGAAAGAAAACCAAAAUCUUACAGCAGAAAGCCAAGGGGGAAAAAAAGACUUCGUGAGCUGAAUAUAAGAACUAGAAAGACACCCAAAAACCUUUCCUCUUCCUGAGAAGCGGCCAAUCAGGGCUCACAAGAGAAACAAUUUGGUAGAAGUGAACAACCCAAUAUGACCACUUCAAAAGGUUGUUGUUAUGGAUCAGAGAUGAGUAUGAGUCCUCAGAAAACUGCAAAGCAUUGUGUGAGCAUUUCUCAAAUACUUUUUCACUGACUCCUAAGAUCCUACAAAAUGGCAAUGGGUGUUCCGUGGGGAAAUUAUGGGUUCCACAAUCCUCCCAUCCACUCAAAAAAAGUAGGAAAUCCUGCAUACCUUAUAUGCUUCGUUGAGCUUCAC